rnacentral:rRNA from 1 species
GAUGAACGCUGGCGGCGUGCUUAACACAUGCAAGUCGAACGGAAAGGCCUUGUGCUUGCACAAGGUACUCGAGUGGCGAACGGGUGAGUAACACGUGGGUGAUCUGCCCUGCACUGUGGGAUAAGCCUGGGAAACUGGGUCUAAUACCAUAUAGGACCGCAUCGUAGAUGGUGUGGUGGAAAGCUUUUGCGGUGGGGGAUGAGCCUGCGGCCUAUCAGCUUGUUGGUGGGGUAAUGGCCUACCAAGGCGGCGACGGGUAUCCGGCCUGAGAGGGUGUACGGACACAUUGGGACUGAGAUACGGCCCAGACUCCUACGGGAGGCAGCAGUGGGGAAUAUUGCACAAUGGGCGCAAGCCUGAUGCAGCGACGCCGCGUGGGGGAUGAAGGCCUUCGGGUUGUAAACUCCUUUCGCUAUCGACGAAGCCAUUUUGUGGUGACGGUAGGUAGAUAAGAAGCACCGGCUAAUUACCUGCCUCCAGCCGCGGUAAUACGUACGGUGCAAGCGUUGUCUGGAAUUACUGGGCGUAAAGAGCUCGCAGGUGGUUUGUCGCGUCGUCUGUGAAUCCCGGGGCUUAACUUCGGGCGUGCAGGCGAUACGGGCAUAACUUGAGUGCUGUAGGGGAGACUGGAAUUCCUGGUGUAGCGGUGAAAUGCGCAGAUAUCAGGAGGAACACCGAUGGCGAAGGCAGGUCUCUGGGCAGUUACUGACGCUGAGGAGCGAAAGCAUGGGUAGCGAACAGGUUUAGAUACCCUGGUAGUCCAUGCCGUAAACGGUGGGCGCUAGGUGUAGGGGGCUUCCACGUCUUCUGUGCCGUAGCUAACGCAUUAAGCGCCCCGCCUGGGGAGUACGGCCGCAAGGCUAAAACUCAAAGGAAUUGGCGGGGGCCCGCACAAGCGGCGGAGCAUGUGGAUUAAUUCGAUGCAACGCGAAGAACCUUACCUGGGCUUGACAUAUACAGGAUCGCCGUAGAGAUACGGUUUCCCUUGUGGUCUGUAUACAGGUGGUGCAUGGUUGUCGUCAGCUCGUGUCGUGAGAUGUUGGGUUAAGUCCCGCAACGAGCGCAACCCUUGUCUUAUGUUGCCAGCACGUUAUGGUGGGAACUCAUGAGAGACUGCCGGGGUUAACUCGGAGGAAGGUGGGGAUGACGUCAAAUCAUCAUGCCCCUUAUGUCCAGGGCUUCACACAUGCUACAAUGGUCGAUACAGUGGGCAGCGACAUCGUAAGGUGGAGCGAAUCCCUGAAAGUCGGCCUUAGUUCGGAUUGGGGUCUGCAACUCGACCCCAUGAAGUCGGAGUCGCUAGUAAUCGCAGAUCAGCAAUGCUGCGGUGAAUACGUUCCCGGGCCU